rnacentral:rRNA from 1 species
UAGGGAAUCUUCGGCAAUGGACGGAAGUCUGACCGAGCAACGCCGCGUGAGUGAAGAAGGUUUUCGGAUCGUAAAGCUCUGUUGUAAGAGAAGAACGAGUGUGAGAGUGGAAAGUUCACACUGUGACGGUACCUAACCAGAAAGCCACGGCUAACUACGUGCCAGCAGCCGCGGUAAUACGUAGGUGGCAAGCGUUGUCCGGAAUUAUUGGGCGUAAAGCGCGCGCAGGUGGUUUAAUAAGUCUGAUGUGAAAGCCCACGGCUCAACCGUGGAGGGUCAUUGGAAACUGUUAAACUUGAGUGCAGGAGAGAAAAGUGGAAUUCCUAGUGUAGCGGUGAAAUGCGUAGAGAUUAGGAGGAACACCAGUGGCGAAGGCGGCUUUUUGGCCUGUAACUGACACUGAGGCGCGAAAGCGUGGGGAGCAAACAGGAUUAGAUACCCUGGUAGUCCACGCCGUAAACGAUGAGUGCUAAGUGUUGGUCUCAUAAGAGAUCAGUGCUGCAGCUAACGCAUUAAGCACUCCGCCUGGGGAGUACGACCGCAAGGUUG